rnacentral:rRNA from 1 species
UGGGGAAUUUUGGACAAUGGGCGAAAGCCUGAUCCAGCAAUGCCGCGUGUGUGAUGAAGGCCUUCGGGUUGUAAAGCACUUUUGGCGGGAACGAAAAGGACUGUGCCAAUACCACGGUUCGAUGACGGUACCCGCAGAAUAAGCACCGGCUAACUACGUGCCAGCAGCCGCGGUAAUACGUAGGGUGCAAGCGUUAAUCGGAAUUACUGGGCGUAAAAAGUGCGCAGGCGGUUUUGCAAGACCGAUGUGAAAUCCCCGGGCUUAACCUGGGAACUGCAUUGGUGACUGCAAGGCUAGAGUGUGUCAGAGGGAGGUGGAAUUCCGCAUGUAGCAGUGAAAUGCGUAGAUAUGCGGAGGAACACCGGUGGCGAAGGCAGCCUCCUGGGAUAACACUGACGCUCAUGCACGAAAGCGUGGGGAGCAAACAGGAUUAGAUACCCUGGUAGUCCACGCCCUAAACGAUGUCUACUAGUUGUCGGGGAUUAAUUUCCUUGGUAACGCAGCUACGCGUGAAGUAGACCGCCUGGGGAGUACGGUCGCAAGAUUA